rnacentral:snRNA from 1 species
AUCGCUUCUCGGCUCGAUGAGCUAAGAUCAAGCGUAGUGUCUGUUCUUAUCAGUUUGAUCACUGAUAGGCCCUUAUUUAAGGGCUGUGUAUUAAAUUGAUUUUUGACCCAGGGGCUGGAUGAGGAGCUUGCUCUGUCCACCCCACGCAUUGGCCUGGUAUUGCAGUAUUUCCAGGAACGGUGCAUCCCCC